UCCCUGAUGGUCUAGUGGUCAGGAUUCGGUGCUCUUACCGCCGCGGCCUGGGUUCGAUUCCCGGUCAGGGAA
rnacentral:tRNA from 1 species